rnacentral:ncRNA from 2 species
UCACAGAGCUAGGGGUGCCCGCUGGAAUCCUCCGGACCGGGCUGAGACACACCCUUCGAACCUGAACCGGUUAGUCCCGGCGUAGGAAAGCUGAUCCGCCUUUGG